GACGAACGCUGGCGGCGUGCUUAACACAUGCAAGUCGAACGGAAAGGCCCUGCUUUUGUGGGGUGCUCGAGUGGCGAACGGGUGAGUAACACGUGAGUAACCUGCCCUUGACUUUGGGAUAACUUCAGGAAACUGGGGCUAAUACCGGAUAGGAGCUCCUGCUGCAUGGUGGGGGUUGGAAAGUUUCGGCGGCUGGGGAUGGACUCGCGGCUUAUCAGCUUGUUGGUGGGGUAGUGGCUUACCAAGGCUUUGACGGGUAGCCGGCCUGAGAGGGUGACCGGCCACAUUGGGACUGAGAUACGGCCCAGACUCCUACGGGAGGCAGCAGUGGGGAAUAUUGCACAAUGGGCGGAAGCCUGAUGCAGCAACGCCGCGUGCGGGAUGACGGCCUUCGGGUUGUAAACCGCUUUCGCCUGUGACGAAGCGUGAGUGACGGUAAAGGGUAAAGAAGCACCGGCUAACUACGUG
rnacentral:rRNA from 1 species